GACGAACGCUGGCGGCGUGCUUAACACAUGCAAGUCGAACGGUAAGGCCCUUCGGGGUACACGAGUGGCGAACGGGUGAGUAACACGUGGGUGAUCUGCCCUGCACUUCGGGAUAAGCCUGGGAAACUGGGUCUAAUACCGGAUAGGACCACUGCCUGCAUGGGUGGUGGGGGAAAGCUUUUGCGGUGUGGGAUGGGCCCGGGGCCUAUCAGCUUGGUGGUGGGGUGAUGGCCUACCAAGGCGACGACGGGUAGCCGGCCUGAGAGGGUGACCGGCCACACUGGGACUGAGAUACGGCCCAGACUCCUACGGGAGGCAGCAGUGGGGAAUAUUGCACAAUGGGCGCAAGCCUGAUGCAGCGACGCCGCGUGAGGGAUGACGGCCUUCGGGUUGUAAACCUCUUUCAGCACCGACGAAGCGCAAGUGACGGUAGGUGCAGAAGAAGGACCGGCCAACUACGUGCCAGCCGCCGCCGUAA
rnacentral:rRNA from 1 species